AUUCUACGUGAAUACGCAGUGUCGAAGUGAAGACGAUAAGCUCACCGCCUGGGAAGUACGGUCGCAAGACUGAAACUUAAAGGAAUUGGCGGGGGAGUACUACAAGGGGUGCGGCGUGCGGUUUAAUCUAACUCAACACAGAGAAUCUCACCGGGAGCGACGGCAGGAUGAAAGUCAGGCUGAAGACCUUACUAGACAAGCCGAGAGGUAGUGCAUGGCCGUCGUCAGCUCGUGCCGUAAGGUGUCCUGUUAAGUCAGGCAACGAGCAAGACCUGUACCCAUAAUUGCCAGCAAGCCUUUUGGGUGUUUGGGCACAUUAUGGGAACUGCCCUGGAAACAGGGAGGAAGGUGCAGGCAACGGUAGGUCUGUAUGCUCCGAAUCCCCCGGGCUACACGCGCGCAACAAUGGUAAGGACAAAGGGAUACAACUCCGAAAGGAGAAGUUAAACCUCUAAACCUUAUCCAAGUACAGAUUGAGGGUUGUAACUCACCCUCAUGACGAUGGAAUCCCUAGUAAUCGGAUGUUAUCAGCGUCCGGUGAAUAUGUCCCUGCUCCUUGCACACACCGCCCGUCAAACCACUCGAGCAGGGUUUAGGUGAGCUUUACUUUGAUUGAGUAAUGCGAAUCUAAGCUCAGCGAGAUGGGUUAAGUCGUAACAAGGUAGCC
rnacentral:rRNA from 1 species